CAUAGCACAACAAAGACGCACAGAGUUAGUUAUGGUCUCUUCUACGGUCUUCCAUGGCUGCAAUGACCAAAACAAUGUCGGUGUAUAGACGUAACGGUAACAUGCUAAUAAAUGGUUAAAGGUAUAAUGGCUUAUGGAUGAGGGAGGUGAAGACACAUCCCAAAGAGCUAAAGCUUGUUGGAGCUCAUUACCCUCUAGGCUCUACCAUUAACAAUGGUGCAUCCAUAUGUAGCUAGUUACUGAAACAAGACCUUGAAGUUGUAAUGGAUUUUUGCUGAGGGAGGUUAAGGCACAUCCCAAAAUGCUGAAGCUUGUUGGUGCAUAUUGCCAUUAUUACUAAGAGAUGCUGCAGUCUUAUGGUGGAAAACGUUGAUCAAAUCGAACUCUUAGGUUACAGUGGUGUAUCUACUUUAACAUGGGGAAUGAUUCAAGGUCUUAAUCGCUAAAUCUUAAUUGUGGUUAGAUUGCAUUGUGAUAGAGGAUCUCGAAGUUGCAGAGCUAUUCCUUUGCCAAGUGGACAGUUACAGUUUCCAAAACUACCAGAUUUUCAGAUGGUUUUCGAUUUGGAAUUGGUGCUGAGGUUAGUUGGAAACAUACACAUAAAUAAGUAGAUACUAGAAAAGAAAAAAGAGAAAGUGUGAGUGAGUGAGGAACUGUGAUAUACAGGUGGAGUAAUUGAUCACAUAUUGUCAUGUUUGGUCAACUGUUUCAUUUACCAGUCUGUCCAGAAAUGAAUGUUAUUUUUCACCAAUUUGGAAUUUAGAUAUUUAGCCUCUUGUGUAUUACUAGGCACCUCAAAAUUUAUACAUAUCACUCAUUG